UGGGGGAUAUUGCACAAUGGGCGAAAGCCUGAUGCAGCGACGCCGCGUGGGGGAUGAAGGCCUUCGGGUUGUAAACUUCUUUUGCUCUGAACAAGACAUGCUAAUGGGUGUGUUGAGUGUAGGGGUUGAUUAGCGCCGGCUAACUACGUGCCAGCAGCCGCGGUAAUACGUAGGGCGCGAGCGUUGUCCGGAAUUAUUGGGCGUAAAGGGCUUGUAGGUGGCUGGUUGCGUCUGUCGUGAAAGCUCAUGGCUUAACUGUGGGUUUGCGGUGGGUACGGGCUGGCUUGAGUGCAGUAGGGGAGGCUGGAAUUCCUGGUGUAGCGGUGGAAUGCGCAGAUAUCAGGAGGAAUACCGGUGGCGAAGGCGGGUCUCUGGGCUGUUACUGACACUGAGGAGCGAAAGCAUGGGGAGCGAACAGG
rnacentral:rRNA from 1 species